rnacentral:rRNA from 1 species
GAUGAACGCUGGCGGCGUGCUUAACACAUGCAAGUCGAACGGAAAGGCCCAAGCUUGCUUGGGUACUCGAGUGGCGAACGGGUGAGUAACACGUGGGUGAUCUGCCCUGCACUUCGGGAUAAGCCUGGGAAACUGGGUCUAAUACCGGAUAGGGCCACUUCUUGGAUGUUGUGGUGGAAAGUUUUUUCGGUGUGGGAUGAGCUCGCGGCCUAUCAGCUUGUUGGUGGGGUAAUGGCCUACCAAGGCGUCGACGGGUAGCCGGCCUGAGAGGGUGUACGGCCACAUUGGGACUGAGAUACGGCCCAGACUCCUACGGGAGGCAGCAGUGGGGAAUAUUGCACAAUGGGCGCAAGCCUGAUGCAGCGACGCCGCGUGGGGGAGGACGGCCUUCGGGUUGUAAACUCCUUUCGCUAGGGACGAAGCGUUUUGUGACGGUACCUGGAGAAGAAGCACCGGCUAACUACGUG